AACACUUUUGGCAGAUUUUUCUGUUUGGUCUGUCUCAUUAAAUCAUCUGAACUGGAAUCUAGAACUCAAGCACCAAAUACAGUUCAGAUAAAAUCACUUUUUCUUGCUGCUGUAUCUAACUGGCUGCAUUUUCUUAUUUAAAAAACAAAGAGAACUGCCAUCAGAAGAAUAUCCACACUCGCUGCCUUCGUCUUAAAUAAUAGAAAAUAUGCUGUGCUUCAAUAUUCUUUAUUGUUCAAUACUGCAGUGCAUCAUCACCACGGUUGUUAUUCCACAUGUUCUCAUUGUCAGCAGUCACUCAAGUGCCAAAUAAAAUGCAAUGAAGACAAUGACGGCGGGUAUUAUCAGCAUAAUAGUGGAGGAGCAGAAAAUAAACAGAGCUUCCUCUCCGUCGUAUAGAACUUUUAUAACCAAAAUAAUGAGAUUUUUGAAAUGCUUGUGAAAUCAUUAUAUACAGACCCUUUCAAUAAAUAGGUGCAUUUAAUAUUAAAUUAAUAUUUCCUUACAAAUAUAUGGUACAUGCAGGUACAGUGGAAUAAAAAGCAAAAAAUCUGUUCAAAAACAACCAAUGAAUGUCCGUGUUUUUCAGAAAUGAAACCGAACAACAAUGUUCAGACUGCUGUGGCUCUGAAGGCACUUCCUUGGCAACGCUUUGAUCCCUCUUCCGGUAUUUUAGGGGCCUGAAAUGAAAAAUUGCAAAACAUUUUUUAAAAAAGCAGACUUUAAAUCUUUUUCUUGGAAUUAAAAACAGCUUCAUUAAAAUCCAGCUCCGUCCAGUAAUGAUGAACCAAUGAAUCACUUAAUGUGAUUUACGUUUGUCAGGUUUCUCCAGGAUCUUAUUAUUAUCUCAUCCUUCACUGGACAAACGGAGAAUGUGUCAUCCUCCUCGGUUUUAUAAUCACUCCAACCCCCGAGUCAAACGGACAGAAACCACCUUCUACGUAGACAAACCGUCCUUUCACUCGCCGGUUACGACUAAUUGCUGUGAACACAUUCAGACCCGCUGUCAUCACAGUUCACCUGAACAAAGACUAGAACUACUCCUGUGACGACAGUCCGAGUCCUUCUGCCGUUUAUUGUCUUUAAGAUUGGCAUAAAAAGCACCAGACAGUAGAAAUGUUCCUAAAAUAACUCGGUCUGUGCAUCAUUUAUGGGUGAAAAAUAUCACCUUUUCAGGUUAAAUGACCAAAACAUGUCUCCGUGAGUCUCCAAUCAUCGUCUCUGAUAUUUGGAAUUUUCCAAUUAUUGGUAUCUGUAAUUUUAUUUAUUAAUUAUUGAUGAACUAAAUGCUCUACUUCAGCUGUGAUCAGCCUCCUCUCUCUGUCUGCCGUCACUCUGUGGUCUUAGAAACGUCUCUCAAGUAGUGAAAACUCAACAAGAAACCAGGAAAUUUGCUUCUCUAACAGCGGCUAAGGCUAUGCUAACAGCUAAAUAUAAUACACUGUAAUGUUGGACAGCAGCAUCAUCCAUGUUUUAUGUAUAUAUUGAUGUCUUAUGUUCAGAUUUGUGGGUCUUUAAUGCGCAUUUUGUCUGUUCAUUCUGCACCAGACCACAUUUCUGCACUCAGCUGAUGAAAGAUUCCAUGGUUUCUGAUUGGGAUUAUCAUGUCCAAUGUUUGGCAUUUUCCCAGUUAUCGGUAUCUGUAUUUCUAUUGAUCGACUAUUGAUUGAUUAAAUGCCUGUCUGCCGUUACUCUGUGGUCUCAGAAACGUCUCUAAAGAAGCAAAGACUCAACAAGAAACACAAACCAGGAAGUUAGCUGGUGUGGUAGGACGGCCACUCAGGUUGUGUGCAUUGAGUCAGGUUCGUGCAGCUGGGAGUAAUCAUCCUAAUGCACCUUGCUUGCUGGGCGGUGCCACGCCAGGUUAUAUCUGGGAGAGGGCUGCGCGUUUUGUACGUGCAUCCUCUUACCUCUUUCUGGAGCCUACGUGCCACAUCAGCAACGUGGCGUGGAUGUGUGGAUCCACGUGGCGGUCUCGAGACGCUGGCUGUCGAGCUUUCUCUUGUCAGGUAUGUGCCGACGCGGUCGCUACAUCGCUGGGUUAUAUUAGUGGUGUUUGAUGUGCUUUCUGCUUUCUAGCAGAGUCGGGCCGUAUUCGGGCUGAAGGCUGGGAGCCGGGAGUAAUAAUUCACACGCUGUAUUGAAUUCCUGAGUGAUCAUGCUGCUUUCUUCCACGGCUGUCUCCCCUGUUGCCUGAGGAGCUGCGUCUUCACGGACGGCCGGUUCUAUCGCAGAAGCGGGCUACUGCUGUUCUGUCUGUGGUUCAUCGCGGCAAGCUCUCUGCUCAUCGGCAGUUGUUUUAUUGUUUUUUUUUUGGUGUUGUGUGAUGUUUUAAAAACAAAACAACGACGAUCUUGGUGUGCGCGUGCCUAUUGCCCAGCACGCCUGUUAUUGAGAGUAUUAUUAUUAUUAUUAUUAGUGUUAGAAUUAUUAGUGUUAGAAUUAUUAGUGUUGGAAUUAUUAGCAUAGAUCUUGGGAUUCUUUAUUAGUUAGUUUUGUUAUUUAUUUAUUGUUUAUUCACUUAUUUGUUGGGUUUGCGUAUUUAAGUUAUCCAGUUAUCCUUUUUUUGGGUUUAUAAAUUUUUUUUUUUCCUGUUUUUGGUUUAUUGGGUUGACUGGGCAAGGGAGUAAGGGGUGCAUGUUGGCAUAAUUGGCCUUGGGGGUGACCUCCUGGGCCCAGCCUAGUGUGGUGUUGGGGCAGUUUAUUUGAGAUCUAUGUAGGUGUGCCUCAUUUUCCCGUGACUAACAGUUUGCCUCUUUUUCUUGGACAGGAGCUGUUGGGCCAGGUGGCUGGUGGCUGACUGAUUCCCCCGGCGGUGGUGGUCCCUUUACUCCCUGUACAGUAGUGCACUUGGGUGUCCGUCAGUGGUUUUGUUUUGUUCACGUGUGGUGUGGUGCAUCAGGACCCUUCUCCCCUUCAGUUAGUCAUCUCUGCCUGGUAAGCCCUCAGCCCUGUGCCUGGCGACGGUGUUUCAGUGGCAAACUUAACCAAGUCAGGGGGGCCCCUGGAGGAUUAGAUUAAUACUGUGCCACUUACUACUGAGUUAUUUCUUGGCAUCGCCACCAAGGUUUUUUUAGUGAUGAAAGCGUGUCAAUUUUUAAAUAUUGUUAAUAAAUUUCAUUUUUCUAUACUUGGAAUUGCAUCAGUCUCCGGUGUCUCUUGUACCUGUGUGACCUUUCUUUUAUCUGUAUUGGAGUGGUGGUCCUCCUUAAAUAGAUCUCCUGGGGGUGAAACUCCCCCAGGUGGCGUUGUCAGACACGUGGUAAAUAACAAACAUACAUCUAACCCUUGUAGCCUUGCCACACUUGUCUCACAGUGGCUAAGGCUAUGCUAACGGCUAGCGGCUAAGGCUAUGCUAACGGCUAGCGGCUAAGUUAGAAGGCAGAUUAACCUGAAACAGAAUCUGGAAAACAAUUAAAUAAUAAAGCUUUAAGAUCUGGACCUUAGUGGGAAAUAAAAAUGAUGAAACGGUGAAAUAUUAAGAAAAUGAAGAACAGCAGAAGAAAAACUGAUGAUUGUCAGUCGAUCCACAUAAACAGACAAAUUUAAUCCCUUCUUUUUCUAUUUUACAUAUUCAGUUAUAGUCGCCCUGAUUAAUGAAUGACAGCUUCUCUUCUAUCAUAUGCUGUUAAAAACUUUACAUUGAAUGUAUAUUGGCUCCAAAUAUCAGUUGUCAGCUUUUAUUGAUGACCAAUAAUCGGUAUCGGCCCUUAAAAAAAAAAAACCCUCAUAUCUGUCGAUGUUGGUAUUAAACAGCACUAGACAGCUGAUCAUUAAUUAUGUUUUAAAACCUCUCCAUGGUUUCCAGACGGCACACGAGAUGUUUUCUACUUUCACAUGGAUGUUCUGUUCCAGCAGCAGGAUUCUGUACGGUGGCCGAGGGGUGCAAACGCAGCACAAAAACGGAACGCCCUGCAAGAGACAAAAACACCCACAAAAAAUAAAUGCUGCAAGAUAGAAAACACCUACAAAAGAGAAAUGCUGCAGGAGACAUAACACCCACCAAAAUGAAACCCACUUCACAACAGAAAUGCACUGCAAAACAGAAACGCGCCACAAAUAGGAUAACACAAUGGAGGGGAUUCCACAACGGAAGUGCUCCAGGUCACUAGAUGGCAGAGCUGAGUUUCAACACCAGAAACAGACAACGAGUGAAUAAGAAAGUUGAAGUUGGAGGGAGAGACUACUAGAAAAGGUGUACUUUUCUCUUUCCUACGUUUUUACGUGUCUCUCAGAUGUUGCUGUGAAAAUACUUGUGUAGGUAUAGUUGAUUUACAUAGCUGAUUUUAGUGGGGUUGAGAUUGUGAGUACUGUAACUAACACUAUGGGACACACCAGGUGUGUGUGUUGCAUUCAUUUUAGUUUACAUUCAUUUAAUUUAAUCACUUUAUGUGUAUUUGAAGCAGUCCACAAUUAUCAAUGCUUCUCUUCUAGGCUGUCAUGUCCCAUGUGUGAGUCGUCCAGGUACCUUGUUAAAUACCUGGUGUGUCCCAGAAAUUAAUGUUUGUUACAGUAACGUUAACACUACAAAUUCACUUCUCACAACCCCAAGCCCACUAAAAUCAGCUGUGUAAAUCAGCAAAACCUACACAAGUAUUUUCACAGCAGCAUCUGAGGGCCACAUGUAAAAACUUAGGAAAGAGAAAAGUAUACCUUUUCAAGUUGUCUCUCCAAUUUCAGUAAGAUUUAAACAACUUCUAGCCGUGUAUUAGACCACUCUAAGCCACAAGUUGGAGUGGGAAAACCACGGCAAGCUGUGGAUCAGGAAAACCACGGCAAGCUGUGGAUCGGGAACACCAGGACAAGCUGUGGAUCGGGAACACCAGGACAAGCUGCGGAUCGGGAACACCAGGACAAGCUGCGGAUCGGGAACACCAGGACAAGCUGCGGAUCGGGAACACCAGGACAAGCUGCGGAUCGGGAACACCAGGACAAGCUGCGGAUCGGGAACACCAGGACAAGCUGCGGAUCGGGAACACCAGGACAAGCUGCGGAUCGGGAACACCAGGACAAGCUGUGGACUGGGAACACCAGGACAAGCUGUGGAUCAGGAACACCCGGACAAGCUGCGGAUCAGGAACACCAGGACAAGCUGCGGAUCAGGAACACCCGGACAAGCUGCGGAUCAGGAACACCAGGACAAGCUGCGGAUCAGGAACACCAGGGCAAGCUGUGGACUGGGAACACCAGGACAAGCUGUGGAUCGGGAACACCAGGACAAGCUGCGGAUCAGGAACACCAGGACAAGCUGUGGAUCAGGAACACCAGGACAAGCUACGGAUCAGGAACACCAGGACAAGCUGUGGACUGGGAACACCAGGACAAGCUGUGGAUCAGGAACACCAGGACAAGCUGUGGACUGGGAACACCAGGACAAGCUGUGGAUCAGGAACACCAGGACAAGCUGUGGAUCAGGAACACCAGGACAAGCUGCGGAUCAGGAACACCAGGACAAGCUGUGGAUCAGGAACACCAGGACAAGCUGCUGAUCAGGAACACCAGGACAAGCUGCGGAUCAGGAACACCAGGACAAGCUGCGGAUCAGGAACACCAGGACAAGCUGCGGAUCAGGAACACCAGGACCAGCUGCGGAUCAGGAACACCAGGACCAGCUGCGGAUCAGGAACACCAGGACAAGCUGCGGAUCAGGAACACCAGGACAAGCUGCGGAUCAGGAACACCAGGACAAGCUGCGGAUCAGGAACACCAGGACCAGCUGCGGAUCAGGAACACCAGGACAAGCUGCGGAUCAGGAACACCAGGACCAGCUGCGGAUCAGGAACACCAGGACAAGCUGUGGACCGGGAACACCAGGACAAGCUGUGGAUCAGGAACACCAGAACAAGCUGUGGACUGGGAACACCAGGACAAGCUGUGGACUGGGAACACCAGGACAAGCUGUGGAUCAGGAACACCAGGACAAGCUGUGGAUCAGGAACACCAGGACAAGCUGUGGACUGGGAACACCAGGACAAGCUGUGGAUCAGGAACACCAGGACAAGCUGUGGAUCAGGAACACCAGGACAAGCUGUGGAUCAGGA
ensembl:lncRNA